GCCGGGGUGGCUCAGUGGUUGAGCAUUUGCCUUUGGCUCAGGUCGUGAUCCCAGGGUCGUGGGAUCGAGUCCCACGUCGGGCU
rnacentral:tRNA from 1 species